GUCGUAUUGUCGCUACGUAUCAAUUCGUAUAUAUAAUUCGAUGUUACUUUUUUAAUAAAAAUAUCGACAAGUUCAUGAUAGUUUGAACCGAUACAGCCACUACAAAGUCUCAGAGACAUUUCAAGAUUUCUCUCCUCAGUCAUGGAUUAAAGAACAGAAAUUCACUAUGUAAUUGCCACAAUAGUCAGGGCUUUCCCGAGUCUUGCUGUGCUAUACUCUCCUGUUUGAACAGAUAUUUGACCAUAAAAAAAUAAAACUGGUUCUUGUAAUUUCCUGCGACAGUCAGAUAUCUCUACUAGAGGAAUCUACUGCUGUGAAUACUUGUAAAGAGGUCUCACACUCAAGAAAGGUUUUAUAGUUCUGCAAGAGAUUUUGAAUCUUUUGGCCAAGCUUAAAAAGACGGCAAAAAGCUGAAAAGAGAAGCGAAGUUGCUACAGGAAA